GAUGAACGCUAGCGAUAGGCUUAACACAUGCAAGUCGAGGGGCAGCAUGGUCUUAUCUUGCUAAGACUGAUGGCGACCGGCGCACGGGUGCGUAACGCGUAUGCAACUUGCCUCACAGAGGGGGAUAACCCGUCGAAAGACGGACUAAUACCGCGUACACUUGGGAUAGGGCAUCCUGACCCAAGGAAAUGAAAUUCGCUGUGAGAUAGGCAUGCGUCCCAUUAGCUAGUUGGUGAGGUAACGGCUCACCAAGGCGACGAUGGGUAGGGGAACUGUGAGGGUGAACCCCCACACUGGUACUGAGACACGGACCAGAAUCCUACGGGAGGCAGCAGUGAGGAAUAUUGAUCAAUGGGCGAGAGCCUGAACCAGCCAAGUCGCGUGAAGGAUGACUGUCUUAGGGAUUGUAAACUUCUUUUAUACGGGAAUAACAAGAGUCACGUGUGGCUCCCUGAAUGUACCGUAUGAAUAAGCAUCGGCUAACUCCGUG
rnacentral:rRNA from 1 species